UGGAUAUGGGGGACAUGGAUGUGGGGGGACAUGGGUAUGGGAAGGUGGGUAUGGGGGAUACAUCAGUGGCAGGACAUGGCUGUGCGGGGCUGUGCAGGACAAGGGCUCCCUUUGGGACAGGGAUGGCGGGGGGUGCUGGGCUGCAGAGCCCACCCCAGUGGGAGCCGGGUCCCCAGGCCUCGUGUGCUGGCCCUGGGGUGUCCUGCAGGCACUGGGGGCUGCCCCAGAAGCCACACGGCAGACAUUUCCAUGGAUUCAGGUCCGGCUGUGCCAGCCACCCUGCGGCGUUACCUCCAGCGCUCCGCUGUCACGGGGCAGGGAAGGACACCAGGCCAAGGGCUUGUGGCUGCUGUGGGGAUUUGGCUGCAGCCAGCACCGGUGAACGUGGGCAGGCGAGCCCCACACGAGCAGCUCUGCACACCCCACUCAGUGAGACCACUGGGAAUGCCAGAGAUGAAGGGAGCCAUUCACUGUUACAUCCCCUUGCAUGCUACCCCAGCAGUGACUGAACAGGGGUUACAUCCAUCUGGCAGAACAUCACAUCAGCCCAGCACCACUCUGGGCCUCCUGUGACAGCUCCAGUGUCCCCACAGCUCUGGGGUGAGUCUGCCCAGCAUGGGAAUACAGCAGGAAAUUCUGACAGUGAUAGAAGGAAAAGACACAGUUUUUUGUUGGCCUGGUAAGUUGAUUCACUCAUGUGACCACUGUUUAAGGGAAUGAGAGGAAAACAAAAUGAGAAAGCUGCCCCUUCUGGCAGCCACCCACACGUAACGCUGAGCUGCUCUGACUCAAAUCAGAUGGACGCCUUCCUCUACUCAAAAAAACCCCAAAAACAUCUAUUUUCUGUUAAUGUGCUAAGUCUGCUGUCACAGUUUGAUUCUCUGUUGUCUGCACACCUCACCACUCUUGCCAAGGCUGGUGUCAGCCUGGCUCAGCUUCUGUCCCUGCUCACCCGGGACACACCAGCCACUGGGUUUUGUGGAAUGACUCAGCAGUAACUUCCCCUGAUUCUCUGGAAAUUCAGUGAUGCAGUAUUUACUGAGAAAUCAGGACUAAGAGCUUGGUGAUCUUCUCAGGCAAUUCUUAAAAUUCUUCUGCAUGGAAGUUUUAAAGAUGGGUAUGAACCAGUGGUUUUCAUUCACUCUGGUUACGUAUGAAAGACCAUGUGAAAUACCUCCAAUAUGGUGACACUGUUGUGUCAAUUUUUUAAACAAAGAACAGAAAAAUUACUGAAUAAUUUCAGAGGUUUUUUUCAUUGAAUUGCAAUUUUUGUUGUCCAACAUCCAACCUACCUAAAUCACUGCUAUCAUUGCCCAUUGCAAUCAGCUUGCAAAAUUCCCAUCUAUAUAUGUCUUUAUUGUUGCCUAUUCUUCCCUUUUGAGCAAGAUGUUUUGUUUUAAAACCAGAAAAGCCUCCUUUGAUGCCACUGAAAUUGUGCACAUUUGAGUCACCUAACAACACACUGAUGGAGGGCUGCCCCAGGUUCCAUUUGGAUCACACUGAGUCACUGGCAAAUUUGAACUCGUUUAUUGCUUCACAAACCUCAAACCAUGCAGGCUUUUAUUAACUCAGAGAUUAAUUUUGUGGUUGGCACACUCCCUGCUUUCCAGCUCUCUUGGCAUCGCUCUGGUUUGUACUGCUGGAAGUGCCUGGCAACCUCAGCUCUCCUGCAGCAUUCCUGGCUGCAGCUUCCCUAGGGAAGAGAGGGCUCCCAGGGCAUCACGAGUUAUUUCUAGGCAUACACCUAGAAAUCACAGCAUUCAGUGCUUUUAAAACAUCAGGUGUUUUACCUGGUAGAAAAAAAUAAAUUAAAUUGUGAGAGAAAUUACAAGAAAAACAACAUUUUUUUUCUCCAUUCUGUUCACCUUAGAGGGAUUGGUGAGCAGGAGGACAUGAGCCAGAGAACACAAUCCAGUAUUGUCAGUGCUUCUGGAAAUGUUGUGGCCAUUCACAAACAGUGUAAUUCCUCCAGACUUUGCUCUGGGAGGAGGUGAGCAGCUUGGGGCUUGAGGACAGGAGGAGUGCUAAGUCCUGCAGCCUUUCUUAACGGGCUUCCCAUGAUGAUUUUGAUUGCAUAAUUACAUAUAUUCCACCUGAAACCUUAACUGGGUGCAAGUCCCACUUAAUAAUAAAACGUACAAGUAGUUUACAGCUUUCUGUGACCAGACCAUUUCUUGCACAUGACAUUUCUCAAUUGCUCCCUCCCAUCACCUUUUACCCAGUGUCGAGGGCGUUUGCUGUUUUCUGUGUCUGGCUUUGCCCCACCAAACCCUGCACUCUCUCCCAGGUGAGGCACAAAUGAGCUGAACAAUCCUUAUUAAGUGUACAGCAUUUAGUGAGUCUCAGACUGACUAAUCACAUUUAUGUGCUUUCCCAGUCUGACUGUACUCACUGUUAUCUCCCAUCUGUAACUGUAAAUCCUCCAGGGCAGAGAUCAGCACUGUUACCUGUUGUAUAUUACCUAGCUGAAAGGAGCCAAGGAUUUUAUGUGCUUUGGCAAUAAACAGCAUAAAUAUCAUUAUGCUUUAAGAACAUUUGUGAAGUUUUUCUCCUUUGCACAUGGUUUCUAAAUCAGGCAGGACAAAAACCUAUCUGGGGAUCACAUUUGUAUAUGAAAUCUAUCUUGUGCCAAAACUAAGAUAUCCAAGUAGCA